UACGAAGGGGGCUAGCGUUGUUCGGAAUCACUGGGCGUAAAGCGCACGUAGGCGGAUUUUUAAGUCAGGGUGAAAUCCCGAGGCUCAACCUCGGAACUGCCUUUGAUACUGGAGAUCUUGAGUCCGGAAGAGGUAAGUGGAACUGCGAGUGUAGAGGUGAAAUUCGUAGAUAUUCGCAAGAACACCAGUGGCGAAGGCAGCUUGCUGGGCUUCUUCUGACACUGAGGUACGAAAGCGUGGGGAGCGAACAGG
rnacentral:rRNA from 1 species